UGAACGCUAGCGGGAUGCUUUACACAUGCAAGUCGAACGGCAGCACGAGAGAGCUUGCUCUCUUGGUGGCGAGUGGCGGACGGGUGAGUAAUAUAUCGGAACGUGCCUAGUAGCGGGGGAUAACUACUCGAAAGAGUGGCUAAUACCGCAUACGCCCUACGGGGGAAAGGGGGGGAUCGCAAGACCUCUCACUAUUAGAGCGGCCGAUAUCGGAUUAGCUAGUUGGUGGGGUAAAGGCUCACCAAGGCAACGAUCCGUAGCUGGUUUGAGAGGACGACCAGCCACACUGGGACUGAGACACGGCCCAGACUCCUACGGGAGGCAGCAGUGGGGAAUUUUGGACAAUGGGGGAAACCCUGAUCCAGCCAUCCCGCGUGUAUGAUGAAGGCCUUCGGGUUGUAAAGUACUUUUGGCAGAGAAGAAAAGGUACCUCCUAAUACGAGGUACUGCUGACGGUAUCUGCAGAAUAAGCACCGGCUAACUACGUGCCAGCAGCCGCGGUAAUACGUAGGGUGCAAGCGUUAAUCGGAAUUACUGGGCGUAAAGCGUGUGUAGGCGGUUCGGAAAGAAAGAUGUGAAAUCCCAGGGCUUAACCUUGGAACUGCAUUUUUAACUGCCGAGCUAGAGUAUGUCAGAGGGGGGUAGAAUUCCACGUGUAGCAGUGAAAUGCGUAGAUAUGUGGAGGAAUACCGAUGGCGAAGGCAGCCCCCUGGGAUAAUACUGACGCUCAGACACGAAAGCGUGGGGAGCAAACAGGAUUAGAUACCCUGGUAGUCCACGCCCUAAACGAUGUCAACUAGCUGUUGGGGCCGUUAGGCCUUAGUAGCGCAGCUAACGCGUGAAGUUGACCGCCUGGGGAGUACGGUCGCAAGAUUAAAACUCAAAGGAAUUGACGGGGACCCGCACAAGCGGUGGAUGAUGUGGAUUAAUUCGAUGCAACGCGAAAAACCUUACCUACCCUUGACAUGUCUGGAAUCCCGAAGAGAUUUGGGAGUGCUCGCAAGAGAACCGGAACACAGGUGCUGCAUGGCUGUCGUCAGCUCGUGUCGUGAGAUGUUGGGUUAAGUCCCGCAACGAGCGCAACCCUUGUCAUUAGUUGCUACGCAAGAGCACUCUAAUGAGACUGCCGGUGACAAACCGGAGGAAGGUGGGGAUGACGUCAAGUCCUCAUGGCCCUUAUGGGUAGGGCUUCACACGUCAUACAAUGGUCGGGACAGAGGGUCGCCAACCCGCGAGGGGGAGCCAAUCUCAGAAACCCGAUCGUAGUCCGGAUCGCAGUCUGCAACUCGACUGCGUGAAGUCGGAAUCGCUAGUAAUCGCGGAUCAGAAUGUCGCGGUGAAUACGUUCCCGGGUCUUGUACACACCGCCCGUCACACCAUGGGAGUGGGUUUCACCAGAAGUAGGUAGCCUAACCGUAAGGAGGGCGCUUACCACGGUGGGAUUCAUGACUGGGGUGAAGUCGUAACAAGGUAGCCGUA
rnacentral:rRNA from 1 species